rnacentral:rRNA from 1 species
GUGGGGAAUAUUGGACAAUGGGCGCAAGCCUGAUCCAGCCAUGCCGCGUGAGUGAUGAAGGCCUUAGGGUUGUAAAGCUCUUUCAGUGGGGACGAUAAUGACGGUACCCACAGAAGAAGCCCCGGCUAACUUCGUGCCAGCAGCCGCGGUAAUACGAAGGGGGCUAGCGUUGUUCGGAUUUACUGGGCGUAAAGCGCACGUAGGCGGAUCGUUAAGUCGGGGUGAAAUCCUGGAGCUCAACUCCAGAACUGCCUUCGAUACUGGCGAUCUUGAGUCCGGAAGAGGUGAGUGGAACUCCUAGUGUAGAGGUGGAAUUCGUAGAUAUUAGGAAGAACACCAGUGGCGAAGGCGGCUCACUGGUCCGGUACUGACGCUGAGGUGCGAAAGCGUGGGGAGCAAACAGGAUUAGAAACCCCUGUAGUCC